rnacentral:lncRNA from 1 species
GCGUUCUUCAGCCAUGGAGUUACUUUGUUUACCCAUUCAGUGUUCGCUUCUGUUAUUGUCUAGAUUACCGCACAUAUGAAUAACCUGGAUGAGCCCGGUUCACGUGGCUGAAGCUUUUAAAAGCAUGAUGGAGUCGCGUGGUUGGCAAAACCAAACAGUACUAUCGAAAUGCUGCUUCAUGGCCUGACUGCUGCUGGAGGAGGGUGACGUGGACUGAGCCCCUCACUACAACUGACCCAAACCCAGUGGCCGCCCCAGACAGGACCAGCGAGGGGACGCAGCGGGUUCACGGCAGACUCACAGCCAGGAGCGCAGCUCAGGUCCUUCCCGCAGACCCAACCUUCCCCCUGAAACCAGCUUUAAUCAUCCAGGCCAGAGUUUUCUUUCUCCCAAGAACACUCAGAACCACUCGAUUCAUCUGGAUUUCUCCUCUGCCUGUGCAUUGAUUAUUUGUGUGGUUACUUGGUACCCAG